rnacentral:lncRNA from 7 species
UAAGAUAAAGAGUGGAUGAGUAGUCGGCAUAAGCUUUUUUUUUUUUUAGUUUCAGCGACUCUCUGUUAAAAUAGUUUCAGCUCCUCGGUGCGUUUUGUUAAGAGCUUUCUUUUAAAACCAAUUGGAAGGACUCCUGCGGAGAGCCCUAGCCGUAGCCGGAGCAAACUCUAAACAUGUCGAAUGAGCCGUCUGCCGCCGAAUAUGCCAAGUACAUUGUGGUUGAGAACUUGGGGAUUAAAUGUCAACGACUGGGCAUUCAUGCACGCCGGCCAACCGCAUUCGAUUUGCUAACCAUUGUUGGCUUCGUCCAGGAACUCUCACACUCAGCUCAUGCACGAACGUAAGGAGGAAGAUGAAUAUUGUUUUC